rnacentral:tRNA from 1 species
GGCUCCGUGGCUUAAUGGUUACGGCUUCUGCCUCACAAGCAGAAGGUUCAGGGAUCAAAUCCCGGUCGGUACCG